rnacentral:rRNA from 1 species
GGACCUGACUGCUAUCGGAUUGAUACUAAGCCAUGCGAGUCAUUGUAGCAAUACAAGGCAUACGGCUCAGUAACGCGUAGUCAACCUAACCUAUGGACGGGAAUAACCUCGGGAAACUGAGAAUAAUGCCCGAUAGAACAUUAUGCCUGGAAUGGUUUAUGUUCCAAAUGAUUUAUCGCCGUAGGAUGGGACUGCGGCCUAUCAGUUUGUUGGUGAGGUAAUGGCCCACCAAGACUAUUACAGGUACGGGCUCUGAGAGGAGUAGCCCGGAGAUGGGUACUGGGACACGGACCCAGGCCCUAUGGGGCGCAGCAGGCGAGAAAACUUUGCAAUGUGCGAAAGCACGACAAGGUUAAUCCGAGUGGUUUCUGCUAAAGAAACCUUUUGUCAGUCCUAGAAACACUGAUGAAUAAGGGGUGGGCAAGUUCUGGUGU